rnacentral:misc_RNA from 1 species
CAGGCUGAUUUAUACCAUGUAAUGAUAUACAUGUUCUUGAGUCCAACAGAUGAAUUAGGGGAAAAUCAACUCUUUGCAGGACAAAAGAUGGUACAGCAAGUUCUCUUAUUACUGGCCCUUGUUUCGGUGCCAUGGAUGCUGCUUCCAAAGCCUUUCCUUAUGAAGAAGCAGCACGAAGAUAGGCACUUAGGACAAUCAUACACACCACUUCAGAGUACUGAGGAGUCUCUUCAAGUGGAGGUGAAUCAUGAUUCCCAUGGUCA